GACUAUUUGUGGUCGAUGCCUAGCCGCCAUUUCUCGGGCGUUUUUAUGUGAAUCUAUGCACCCGAAGAUAACUUAGCUUAGAAGCAUUAGGUCGAAUUGAACCAUCUUAGUAGGCCUUCGAGUAAAUCAACCGAGAGCUUUCAAGUAAAGGCGAUUGAACGUGGAAAGCACCUGGUUUCAAGUUACUAGCUGGGCCGUUGUCAGUAAGGGUUAUAUGCCUUUGGUUGUGCUUGUUUUUUUUGAGGUGAGUGCUUCUUGCUUGUUUGGGGUUCCAUCCUCGCUGAUCAUUAAAUGGCGUGCUAUAGUCGAAAGUACCGCAAGGGACCGUUGAAAUAGGACCUUCUUAGGUUUGAAAAGCUUUGAAAUCGCAUCUCAUCCGGUCAUUUUAAUGAAUGGCGUGCUUUUUGCAUAACGAGCCGGCGAGUAUAUGUCAGUAGCACGCUUGAACUGCGCAACGACUGUGUUUUAAGUUGCUGGCAUUAUCUCGAAGCCAAGCGAUCUUACCAAAACCAAACUGAAGGCUCGAUAAUUUCGAGCUUGAGGGUUUUAACUCGUGCUUGUUGCAGUAAGCUGAGGUGAGUUUUGGUACGGGGUGAAAGGCCUAUCAAGCUUGGCAAUCGCUAGUUCUCUUCGAAACGUAUUUUAGUACGGCUGCGCAAUUUUGUUGGUGUAGAGCAUUAACAGCUAUGGGGAUUUAGCUUCUUACUGAACUGUUGAAAACUUCGAAGCCAUAAGCGCAAGGCAGACACUAGGCGCUAAGGUCUUUUUGUCGAAAGGGAAACAGCCCAAAUCAGUAGGUAAGGUUCAAGAUAUUGGCUUAGUUUACGGUUUGAUUGGACAGUGACAGUCAGUCAAUGGGCUUGGGAGCAGCCAUUUGCAAAUGAAAGCGUAACAGCUCACUGCCUUAGUUGGAUCAGCCCCAAGAUCUACGGUCUAGAGCUUGUUACCGAUUGCUGCGAUGUUUGGUAGAAGAGCGUUUGGUUUUUUAUUCGAAAGAGCUUCCAGAUCGAAAAUGCCGGUAUUAGUAACGAGAACGAUUUUGUGGUUUAAUGCUCUUGUUUUCCAUCGCGAUUAAAUCGAUGGGUUAUUCGGACUCUAAAUUUUGGGUUGAUGAGGAUGUUUGCUAUUAAGUUACCGACUGGAUCGGUGUUUGGUAAUCGGUCUUUGCUUAGGUUGCUGACGCUCGAUAACCUGGAAAAACAGCAGUUCAAAUCUUCCGUAGUAAAUUCGACUCUGAUGAGCUGAACUUGGAGCUUAUAGGUAUCAAUGAACUCGGCAAAAUACCCGAAAGUCUCGAUGAUGGUUGCUUUUUAGCAUUUAGGUUUUAGGGACCAGCUGUUUAGCAAAAACACAGGGCUUUGCAAUAUGAUGAUUUGGUAUAAGGCCUGACGUCUGCUCCAUUCUGUUGAUUUAAGCUUUGCUUGUAGUUUGCUUGCUUAGUAACCUCUAGAAAAUAGCUGCGGUAACCAUAACCGUACUAAGGUAGCGAAAUUCCUUGCCGAUUAAGUACUGGCCUGCACGAAUGACGUAAUGAGUCCCUAGCUGUCUUGAUGCCUAGCUCCGUGAACUUGAGCUUAUGGGUGAAGACGCCCAACAAACAAUAAAAGACGGGAAGACCCAAGCACCUUGACCUAAAACAUUUAAAGCUAAAAAGCUUGGUUUGCAGGUAAAGUCUCUUGUACCGUCGGAUUGGAUUUUAAGGCUAAGCAUAGUGCGAAACUUGAUGUGGGUUGGUUUUACUGGGGCGGUAUCCUCCACAAAAGCAACGGAGGUGCUCAUCGGUUGGUUAUUUACGUUUGGUAACGUAUUUAGGCGUAAUGGUUAAAACCAGCCAGCUUGUGAGGUUUAUUGACCGAACUGGGGCUUUCGCCUGGCAUAGUGAUCCAAUGGCUUCGAAUGGUUAGAGCCAUUGCUUAACAGUUAAAAGGUACGCUUGGGAUAACAGGCUAAUUCUUCCAGAGAGCUCAUAUCGAUGGAAGAGCUUGGCACCUCGAUGUCGACUCGUCAGAUCCUUGCGUUGGAGUCGUUGCAAAGGGUUGGGCUGUUCGCCCAUUAAUAAUGGCACGUGAGUUGGGUUCAAAACGAUGCGAAUCAGUUUUGUUCCAAUCUUUAUUGGUCAAAAACGCAUGGGUUUGCUUUUAGUACGAGAGGACCAAAGCAUCCGAACCUCUGGUGUCUAUCUUGCGCGUUGCUUUUGGGCUUCUACGUUUUUUGAGUUAACUGUUGAAUGCAUCUAAAUAAGAAGCUUUUCGUGCUGGUUUUUAAGCGUUUGGUUUUUAUGAAGCUUUUGUUAGACGGCUUGUUUUUAGACUUUUAAUGGUUUUGUUCGGUUGUGCUAAAUAUCGGAUUUUUGGGUUUCAUCUGCGA
rnacentral:rRNA from 1 species